AACAGAGCAAACCAGGAAGUGGUGUGAUGACGUCACGUGAUUGGCAUGUGUCGAGGGCCGGGGGUACAGUUUUAACAGUCAACUUCAGACACGAUUAAAUCAACAACGCAAAUCGAUCCUAAACAGCAAACAUCGGUAGAAGGAUUUUGUUUCCCCCCUCUCACAAAGACGCUCCUCUCCUUGUGGUGCUAAACGUUUCCGCCUUCAAUAACUUCGGUAGCUAGCUAGCUGUCUCUGUAGCGAGUGGAACACAUGGAUCACUUUGUUUUGUAACUUCGAUAGUUAGCUAAUUAUUAUCAUGCUGCUGUCAUCGUUUAUACAUUUCAGCACACCAUCCAGAUGCCUCCCAAUAAAAACGUGUACGCGGUGUUGCCAAUACAGUACCGGAAGGAGCGUCCGUAAAGUCGAUACCCCAGUGUUGUUGAAGAACACAUUGACUUUCAACCGCAGUGGUGGACACGGCGGAAAGCAACAAUACAUUGGGUUGAAUAUCUCGCAGAAGAGAUGCUUUUCAUCUGAAUGUGACGAGGUUGGUCAUCAGCAUGAACAUGGGGAUGUGAGAGUGAGGUUCGCUCCGAGUCCAACAGGUUUCCUACACCUGGGGGGACUACGUACAGCUCUCUACAACUAUAUCUACGCUAAGAAGUACGGAGGGACCUUCAUCUUACGUAUGGAAGAUACAGAUCAGAGCAGACUGGUGCCGGGAGCUGUAGAGUCUAUAGAGGACAUGUUGGAGUGGGCUGGUAUCCCCCCAGACGAGAGUCCCCGUGGAGGAGGCCAGUACGGUCCCUACCUCCAGUCCCAGAGGCUGUCCCUGUACAGCCAGGCUGCUGACUCCCUGGUCCAGACAGGGAAGGCCUACCGCUGCUUCUGCAGCCAGCAGAGGCUAGAAUUACUGAAGAGAGAGGCCCUACGCAGCGGACAGACACCGCGGUAUGACAACCGGUGCAGACACCUCCGCCCAGACCAGCUAGAGGAGAAGCUGGAUCAGAAGGUCCCCCAUGUGAUCAGGUUCCGACUGGAGUCUGGGGUAGAACCCUUCAACGACCUGGUCUUCGGGUGGAACCGUCAUGAGGUGGCCCAGGUUGAAGGAGACCCUGUCGUGUUGAAAGCUGAUGGUUUCCCCACCUAUCACCUGGCUAACGUAGUAGACGACCACCUGAUGAAGGUCAGCCACGUCCUGAGAGGAUCAGAGUGGCUCAUCUCUACCUCCAAACACCUGCUGCUGUACAGGGCUCUUGGCUGGAAGCCCCCGGUGUUCGGACACCUUCCUCUCCUCCUCAACAGAGAUGGCAGUAAGCUCUCCAAGAGACAAGGAGAUAUCUACAUACAGAGUUUCCAGAGGAGUGGGGCCCUACCUGAAGCACUACUGGAUAUCACCACACACUGUGGAUCUGGCUUCAACAGUAACCGUGUUGGUCGUAAGAUGGAGGAACUGAUCGCGGAGUUCAACCCGUCCAAGAUCACCACCCACUCUGCCCUGCUAGACCUGGACAAACUACCUGAGUUUAACAAGUACACUACCUGUCUGUCUGUCUCUGUGUGUCCAUCUCUCCCCUCCCUGCUAGACCUGGACAAACUACCUGAGUUUAACAAGUACACUACCUGUCUGUCUCUCUCUGUGUGUCCAUCUCUCCCCUCCCUGCUAGACCUGGACAAACUACCUGAGUUUAACAACUACACUACCUGUCUGUCUCUCUCUGUGUGUCCAUCUCUCUCCUCCCUGCUAGACCUGGACAAACUACCUGAGUUUAACAACUACACUACCUGUCUGUCUCUCUCUGUGUGUCCAUCUCUCUCCUCCCUGCUAGACCUGGACAAACUACCUGAGUUUAACAACUACACUACCUGUCUGUCUCUCUCUGUGUGUCCAUCUCUCUCCUCCCUGCUAGACCUGGACAAACUACCUGAGUUUAACAACUACACUACCUGUCUGUCUCUCUCUGUGUGUCCAUCUCUCUCCUCCCUGCUAGACCUGGACAAACUACCUGAGUUUAACAACUACACUACCUGUCUGUCUCUCUCUGUGUGUCCAUCUCUCUCCUCCCUGCUAGACCUGGACAAACUACCUGAGUUUAACAACUACACUACCUGUCUCUCUGUGUGUGUCCAUCUCUCCCCUCCCUGCUAGACCUGGACAAACUACCUGAGUUUAACAACUACACUACCUGUCUGUCUCUGUGUGUCCAUCUCUCCCCUCCCUGCUAGACCUGGACAAACUACCUGAGUUUAACAACUACACUACCUGUCUGUCUCUGUGUGUCCAUCUCUCUCCUCCCUGCUAGACCUGGACAAACUACCUGAGUUUAACAACUACACUACCUGUCUGUCUCUGUGUGUCCAUCUCUCUCCUCCCUCCACGGGUUCUGUAGGCUGGCUGCUGUCAAACCUCAAGGUUGAGUUUAGUUAAAGGGUAGAAGCCAUAGUAGGUUUGUCCCUGUUGCUCUGGGGCUCUUAACUCAGCCACCAGGGAGUGUAGUCUGAGCACCAGUCUCUUUAGUUCACAUGCCACUCCUUGUCGUUGCCAUAGAGACGGGGUCUCUGGCGAUCUCAACGUUCAGUACGCAGAUGGUUUACGGCUGAGUCGCUCUAUGGUUGUUUGAAAAUAACAUUCAUAUUUUCCAUGACAACAUGUGGAGCCUCAAAUAUAAUUAUAUUACAAAAUCAAAAACCAACAUUUAGCUGUUAGCUAGGCAUGCUGUUGCUUAUUUUGAUUCUUAAAAUCAAGGCCUAAGACGUUUUGUGGUUGGAAUUACAGUACAUAUUUCCUCUGCGAAUUUAGACGUGAGCUUGCAACUUUUCACACUGGUUUUACCUGGCUGAACCCCCCUCAAAAAAUGGUUGCUUAGCAACCGGAGAGCAACACUUUCAGUGGAGAUUAAACAGUGAUAGUUCCAAUAGUUGCCUAAAUCGUUGUGAUUGGAGGAUAGCAGCGAGGGGUUAUCGAAUCAGGAUCAACUCCUCUGUUCUCCUCAAGCUCAUUAAUGAUAGAAUCUUCAGAGUUGAAGAUGGCAGAACGUCCUGUCUCCUUGGCACAUGGAGUGGAGCGCAGGGAGUGGAGCGCAGGGAGUGGAGCGCAGGGAGUGGAGCGCAGGGAGUGGAGCGUAGGGAGUGGAGCGCAGGGAGUGGAGCGUUAGCUAAGAGACUGUUACCCUGGCAACAGGUGGUGCUGUUGCACUGUGUAUUUCUGCCUGUAUAUUGUGUCUGCAGACCUGCACCCAUUCAGUCAUGAUAAAUGACUCCAAUAAUCGCCUCGCCGUGAUAAAUGACUCCAAUAAUCGCCUCGUCAUGAUAAAUGACCCCAAUAAUCGCCUCGUCAUGAUAAAUGACCCCAAUAAUCGCCUCGUCAUGAUAAAUGACUCCAAUAAUCGCCUCAUCAUGAUAAAUGACUCCAAUAAUCACCUCGUCAUGAUAAAUGACUCCAAUAAUCACCUCGUCAUGAUCUUCAGUUUAGAAGCAGUUUGAUUAAUCAGAUGGAGAGAAGGUGUGACCCCAAUCAGACCCCUGGGUCCUGCCUGGCAUCGCCCACCCCUGGGUCCUGCCUGGCAUCGCCCCCCCCCCUGGGUCCUGCCUGGCAUCGCCCCCCCCCCUGGGUCCUGCCUGGCAUCGCCCCCCCCCCUGGGUCCUGCCUGGCAUCGCCCACCCCGGCAUCGCCCACCCCUGGGUCCUGCCUGGCAUCGCCCACCCCUGGGUCCUGCCUGGCAUCGCCCACCCCUGGGUCCUGCCUGGCAUCGCCCACCCCUGGGUCCUGCCUGGCAUCGCCCACCCCUGGGUCCUGCCUGGCAUCGCCCACCCCUGGGUCCUGCCUGGCAUCGCCCACCCCUGGUUCUAGCACAUAAUGGUCUAGGAUCAGCUUUCUCAAUUCUUCUCCUAACCACCCUUAUCUUAACAACUCACUCUAGACCAGUCCUUAGUAAUCUCAGUAAUAAUCCACUCUGUGUUCUCCCAGGAUCCACCUGCAGCAGCGUAUCGAUGACGCGGUGCAACGUGAUUGGCUGGUGAGGGAUCUGCAGGUGCGGAUCCAGGAAGUGUACGGGACACAGGUCCAGGAUCAGGAUGUUCUGCAACCAGAUUACAUCACACGGAUUCUACACCUGCGCAAGGGUCAUAUCUCCUCUGUGUCUGACCUGGUGUCCUCAGAGUAUUCCUACCUUUGGGUUCGACCUUCUUUCUCUGACCAACAGAUGACAGCACUCAGCUCAGAGACACAACACAUCGCUACUCUGGUCAUACGGUUGAUGGAAGGUCUGAAAGGAGGUGAGGAACUGACCGUCGACCAGCUCAGUGUAGAACUGAAGACUCUGGCUAAGAAGACCAGCAACACUAAAUACAGAGACGUUAUGAAGAUUAUACGACUGGCCCUCAGCGGACUACAGCAAGGCCCCAGUGUAGCGGAGAUGAUGGUAUCGUUGGGUCCCAGUGAGAUCACACAUCGCUUCAACAGAGUUCUACAGCAGCACUGAACAUUGUGGCUGCAGGGCACCCUAUUCCCCAUACAGUGCACUACUGUUGUCCAGGACCCUAUUCCCCAUACAGUGCACUACUGUUGUCCAGGACCCUAUGCCGCAAAACGUUUCGCUACGUUGUGCCAUAAUGAAUAUGACCCUGGUUCAUUAUUCUAACUGGUUAUCUGGUUCUAACAGAGCAACACUGAGGACUGGUUAUCUGGUUCUAACACAGCAACACUGAGGACUGGUUAUCUGGUUCUAACACAGCAACACUGAGGACUGGUUAUCUGAUCCUAACAAUAUUCCUGGACUGUAUAUGAUCUCAAUCACACUGGACUUGUAAAGGACAUUCAGUCAAGUUGAACUGGAAAUGUUUGCAAUAAAACAGUUUCUACUAAUGA